GACGAACGCUGGCGGCGUGCUUAACACAUGCAAGUCGAACGCUGUAGCCCUUUCGGGGGUGGAUGAGUGGCGAACGGGUGAGUAACACGUGGGUAAUCUGCCCUGCACUCUGGGAUAAGCCUUGGAAACGGGGUCUAAUACCGGAUAGGACACAUCGCCGCAUGGUGUGUGUGUGUGGAAAGUUCCGGCGGUGCAGGUUGAGCCCGCGGCCUAUCAGCUUGUUGGUGGGGUGAUGGCCUACCAAGGCGACGACGGGUAGCCGGCCUGAGAGGGUGACCGGCCACACUGGGACUGAGACACGGCCCAGACUCCUACGGGAGGCAGCAGUGGGGAAUCUUGCGCAAUGGGCGAAAGCCUGACGCAGCAACGCCGCGUGGGGGAUGACGGCCUUCGGGUUGUAAACCUCUUUCGACCGGGACGAAGGGUGACUGACGGUACCGGUAGAAGAAGCACCGGCUAACUACGUGCCAGCCGCCGCCGUAA
rnacentral:rRNA from 1 species